rnacentral:rRNA from 1 species
UACGUAGGGAGCAAGCGUUGUCCGGAAUCAUUGGGCGUAAAGCGCGCGUAGGUGGCCAUUUAAGUCCGCUGUGAAAGUCAAAGGCUCAACCUUUGAAAGCCGGUGGAUACUGGAUGGCUAGAGUACGGAAGAGGCGAGUGGAAUUCCUGGUGUGCGGUGGAAUGCGCAGAUAUCAGGAGGAACACCAAUAGCGAAGGCAGCUCGCUGGGACGUUACUGACACUGAGGCGCGAAAGCGUGGGGAGCGAACAGG